rnacentral:rRNA from 2 species
GGAGGCUUUGAAGUGUGGACGCCAGUCUGCAUGGAGCCGACCUUGAAAUACCACCCUUUAAUGUUUGAUGUUCUAACGUGGACCCGUAAUCCGGGUUGCGGACAGUGUCUGGUGGGUAGUUUGACUGGGGCGGUCUCCUCCUAAAGAGUAACGGAGGAGCACGAAGGUUGGCUAAUCCUGGUCGGACAUCAGGAGGUUAGUGCAAUGGCAUAAGCCAGCUUGACUGCGAGCGUGACGGCGCGAGCAGGUGCGAAAGCAGGUCAUAGUGAUCCGGUGGUUCUGAAUGGAAGGGCCAUCGCUCAACGGAUAAAAGGUACUCCGGGGAUAACAGGCUGAUACCGCCCAAGAGUUCAUAUCGACGGCGGUGUUUGGCACCUCGAUGUCGGCUCAUCACAUCCUGGGGCUGAAGUAGGUCCCAAGGGUAUGGCUGUUCGCCAUUUAAAGUGGUACGCGAGCUGGGUUUAGAACGUCGUGAGACAGUUCGGUCCCUAUCUGCCGUGGGCGCUGGAGAACUGAGGGGGGCUGCUCCUAGUACGAGAGGACCGGAGUGGACGCAUCACUGGUGUUCGGGUUGUCAUGCCAAUGGCACUGCCCGGUAGCUAAAUGCGGAAGAGAUAAGUGCUGAAAGCAUCUAAGCACGAAACUUGCCCCGA